GUGCUCACUUCACCAGCACAUAUACUAAAAGUGGAAUGAAACAGAGAAGAUUAGCAUGGCCCCUGCUCAAGGAUGACAUGCAAAUUCGUGAAGUGUUCCAUAUUUUU
ensembl:snRNA U6 U6 spliceosomal RNA